rnacentral:lncRNA from 1 species
CCGGCCUCUCUCGGCCGCCGCCAUUUUGUCGGCUGCUGCCGCCGCCCGCCUCCAUCCGCCGCCAUCCGCCGUUGGAGCCGCCGUUAACGCCGCCGCCGCCCGCCGGGACUGAGCGGGGCGGCCCCGCGCCGCCAUGAGGGCCAAGUGGCGCAAGAAGCGAAUGCGCAGGCUGAAGCGCAAGAGGAGGAAGAUGCGGCAGAGGUCCAAGUAGGCGCCGCGCCCGGCCCCGGAGCCCCGGAGCGGAGGAGCCGCGGGGGAGCUGCACGGGGAGCUGGCGGCGGGGCCGCGUGGGGACCGGGGCUGCGCUGUGUAACGGCCCCGGGGCCGCCAAUAAAGCUUGGAUGUGUUCGUUGGACGCGGGCUGCUGCUGCUGCUGGGGGCGAGGGGGGCGGGGGGGGGGCGCCGGUAGGGACCGGGGGGCACCGGGGGCAGGGACCGGGCACCGGAUCCCGGGUGCUGGGGCC